ACCAGGUGCUGUGGACAUAAACAUAAAGAAGUAGUUUCUGCCGCUAAGAUACAUCUGGCACUUAGCAGUGGCUUGAUAAAUAUUUGCUGAGAAACUGAGUGAACACAGUCCCACGUAUUUCAACAAAACACUUACCACAAACUAUGUUACAGUUUUGUUUUUAUAGUGGGACUUUCUCCUAGGCUGUGAAAAUUUUCGUAUCCCAUGGACUCUUUGUAGUCUCUACCAAAGGACCUCCCCUGCAGUCCCGAAGGAACCCCUGCCAUUGCUUUUGAAGACAGUAAGAGCCGCAGCUGCUGAGGGGGCCCUGGUCCCCCCUCAUGGAGACUUUGGCAUGCCUCUGCUCCGAUGUCACCCUACCCUGUGCGCAGCUGUUGGACCCAAAGAGCUGCUCUGAGAGUCGCAGUAGCCCUAAGAGCUCCAGAGUCAUCCUGAGAGAAUGUUCUACAAAGAACGCACGUUUGUAGGCUGGCUGGGAAUAUUCUCUUCCCUGGUUUCUGUCAUCGGGUCCUUGGAUCAUCAUCCAUCACUCACUCAGCAACCUCAGAGCACCGGGAGCCAUGAAAGGGUCUAUACCCAAGCUCAGAUCUGCAUUUCCGGAAGAUGACUGACAGCAGGGCGGAGGAGGGAUUGCAGAGGAGGCAGCAAGCAGAGACCAGUUGAGACAGUAAUGUCACUGUACAGGAAGAAGAGAUGAGGAUACAGAUAACACAGACCGAGGGACAACCAUGUGAGGACACACGGAGAAAAUGGCCGUUUGCAAGCCAAGGACAUGAGCCUCAGAAGAAAACAAACCUGCUGACACCUUGAUUUUGGACUUCUAGC